rnacentral:rRNA from 1 species
GUCGGGUAAGUUCCGACCUGCACGAAUGGCGUAAUGAUGGCCAGGCUGUCUCCACCCGAGACUCAGUGAAAUUGAACUCGCUGUGAAGAUGCAGUGUACCCGCGGCAAGACGGAAAGACCCCGUGAACCUUUACUAUAGCUUGACACUGAACAUUGAGCCUUGAUGUGUAGGAUAGGUGGGAGGCUUUGAAGUGUGGACGCCAGUCUGCAUGGAGCCGACCUUGAAAUACCACCCUUUAAUGUUUGAUGUUCUAACGUUGACCCGUAAUCCGGGUUGCGGACAGUGUCUGGUGGGUAGUUUGACUGGGGCGGUCUCCUCCUAAAGAGUAACGGAGGAGCACGAAGGUUGGCUAAUCCUGGUCGGACAUCAGGAGGUUAGUGCAAUGGCAUAAGCCAGCUUGACUGCGAGCGUGACGGCGCGAGCAGGUGCGAAAGCAGGUCAUAGUGAUCCGGUGGUUCUGAAUGGAAGGGCCAUCGCUCAACGGAUAAAAGGUACUCCGGGGAUAACAGGCUGAUACCGCCCAAGAGUUCAUAUCGACGGCGGUGUUUGGCACCUCGAUGUCGGCUCAUCACAUCCUGGGGCUGAAGUAGGUCCCAAGGGUAUGGCUGUUCGCCAUUUAAAGUGGUACGCGAGCUGGGUUUAGAACGUCGUGAGACAGUUCGGUCCCUAUCUGCCGUGGGCGCUGGAGAACUGAGGGGGGCUGCUCCUAGUACGAGAGGACCGG